CGCCUUCCCCGGCCGGGCGAGGACGGGAGGCGGAGGCGCUGCGGGGCGGGAUCCCAGGUGAUCGGCGGCGGCUACACCCACUCACCGCCCCCGGAGGGCACAGGAAUCACUCCAGUUCAAGAGAAGAAGUGGCUCUCCUACUCAACUCUGAGCAUCUUGCUGCUUCUGUUAAAAUUAGUGGUUCAUCCAAACCGCAGGUGCUGUUAGAUCCUGAGCCUGGGUGCAGGUGCUGGCUGGGAUAAGGAGAUCUUUCUAAAGCUGUGGAUGAAGACAGCACCUCCAUUCAGUAAUACUGAUCAUAUACAUAUUUAGCUUUCAGAAAAAAAAAAAAAAAUUAAAAAAACCCAACACCCACGUUUGGACUUACACUCCUAAAUGGGGAUGGAUUUUAGAAGAAUGUCAGGAGUUUCUCCAGCAGAUGCAAUGUCUCAAUUAGCAUGUCAUUUAACUUGUCUGUCAUUCCUGAGAAUAUGUAAAACCCAAAACAUUAUUUCCUUAGCCACCACCCAAGAACAUUCUGUAUUUUGAUAAGAAACAAUACAAAGAGGAUAAAUUCUGUUCUCCUUGUCCAUGUUCAAAGUGAAUAUAGUUGCCAGUGAGAAGACUGAACGGCUGUAACUGUCCCAUCAGCAGUGAGGAAGCUAGACUCUAAAGCAGAAUAGUCAGCAUAUAAACUAAAGGAACUUUAUUUGAUUAUAGUAUUUAAAAAAAGAAAGGUUAUAGAUUAGAUGAUGCAACUUCAUGUUAAUGCAUAGUAUCAGAUGAAAAAAAUAAGGUAUCUAAAAUAACUCUAAAUACAUUUAAUACAUGAAGAGUAUCUCCUGUAAAAUGAAUUGAAAUGCAGAAAGGAAAAUGAACAAUGGUAGUUUUGACAACCUCUACCUUGAUCCUUAUUUUAGGGAUUAUUCAAUGAUUCACCCAACACACGUGUGUAUGUAAAUCACCUCUGAGGCUUCUGUGUGGGUUUUUCACUACACGAAUACUGUCAAAUAUGAUAUUCUGGUAUUUACUCUGUCCUUCUCUGUUGUUCCUGUGACUGGAACAAUGGGAGGGAUGACUGGCUCCCCAGCAUCUUGCUGUAAUCAUCAGUUCUCAAGAGAAAGCUUCCUGUAAAUCAGAAGUAUUCACUCCUCAGGUGCUUUCCCACAAAAUCCUUCA